rnacentral:tRNA from 1 species
GGCGCUGCUGGUUGUUAGUUCGUGGGAAUCCGCUGCCCGCGAAUGGGAUGGUUCGAGUCCAUCAAGCGCCUCCA